UAGAGAGGUUAUUUGGGCCAAGUUUGAAGAUUGCAACCCGGGAGCAUAGCUUCAAGUUGCCCUGAACAUAGGAUUUGCAACAGUGACAAAGGUGAGGCCAGAGAAGUGACAAGACAGAUGCCAGUCCAGCAGGUGGGCAUGUCCAGAAAGUGCAGCCUCAGGACACGGUCUGGGAACAAAGACUGCUGGAGAGUUGGAAGCUGGCAAGAGGCUCUCAGCUGUGAAGUACCUGGGGUGGGGGAGAAGUGGUCGGAGAAAGCAGAGAACACAAUUGAAGGCACUGGUUAUUCUAGCAAGGCUUUGACUGGAAUGGCAUAUUUUCAGAUAUGACCAGACUGCUCUGAGGAAUUCAGGUUGGCUUUAUAGAGUCAAUAAAAAGCUACCUGGAAAGAGUGGCCAUGUACCUUAUCUAUACAGUUCCCUUACAAGGUUCCUGAUCUUGAGACAUUUGGCUUCACUUGAACCUGUGUUUGAAGCUUUAGUGAACAUUGUCUUUGGGAGUAAGAAGUACUAGAAAAUUUAUGUUCAUCUGCAUCUUGUCACUGGGACAUGAGCAUAGGUGGUCUACCUUCAGUUUGGUCUGUGAACAGGAGGAUUACUUGAGCUCAGGAGUUCUAGUCCAGCCUGGGCAACAGAGCAAGACCCUGUCUCAAAAAGAAAGAAAGAAAUGAGGAUAUGAGUUUGCUGCUCUUUAAAUCGAUGACUUUGCAGCUCUUCAUCUGAAGAGGUGGCGUCUGUUUCUCCUGUUUGAGUGUGGCACAUCCAGGAGAGUGGCUUUGAGCAGUGGUGUGGCAGACGUGACUGUAGGCCAGCCCUGAGCUGAGGCUGCCAGGGGACUGCACACUUCUUCUCUCAGCUCUGCCAGCUGCUGCACUGUGUCUGGGCCAGCCCGCUGGAGCACAGAGUUCAGUGCAUUGGGACAGCUACAGCCCAUUGCAUCGGGACAGCCCACAGCAACAAGACCCACCUGUCGCCACUGCAGGUGCGUGAGGGUGCCCGGCUGAGAGCAGACAAACCGCCUAGCAGGUGGCUUUUCAAGCGGAAUCACAGACUAGCUCCAUCGCUGUGGUGAACGUUCUCCCCAGUGCCAGGAUUCCACUUGGCCCCUGACUGCUUGAGCAGCCGAUGUGACAGCCAUCUCUCUGCUGCCGUGCAUGUCGGCUGGGCUGGAGCCAGUGCAUCAGGAAGUAGACGCAGAAGUGGAUCAGGAGCAAAACAUUCCUGAGAGCUGGCAGAAGCUGGCGUCUGGAGCCGCUGGGAUGCGGGUAUGGGCUCUCUCAGUGGCGGAGGAACAGCCUCCUGGCAGAACCAAAGGUUGCUUUGUGCCUUCGAUGCUGCUGCUGGCCAGAGUGGUUUUCUGUCUCAGACCCUGUACCACGUGUCUGUUCUUUCUCAUUUUUUACUUAAAGGAGAAGAAAAUGAUUAUGUGUA
rnacentral:lncRNA from 1 species